UGCACCGUGGAGGAGAUGGCUGUCCUCGCUGGCCUCAUAAGCCGGAGAUCGUAGGUUCGAAUCCUACCGGAGCGU
rnacentral:tRNA from 1 species